GUAAAUAUAGUUUAAAAAAAAAACAUUAGAUUGUGAAUCUAAUAAUAGAAACUUAUACCUUCUUAUUUACC
rnacentral:tRNA from 1 species